GACGAACGCUGGCGGCGUGCUUAACACAUGCAAGUCGAACGGAAAGGCCCUGCUUUUGUGGGGCGCUCGAGUGGCGAACGGGUGAGUAACACGUGAGUAACCUGCCCUUGACUUUGGGAUAACUUCAGGAAACUGGGGCUAAUACCGGAUAGGAGCUCCUGCUGCAUGGUGGGGGUUGGAAAGUUUCGGCGGUUGGGGAUGGACUCGCAGCUUAUCAGCUUGUUGGUGGGGUAGUGGCUUACCAAGGCUUUGACGGGUAGCCGGCCUGAGAGGGUGACCGGCCACAUUGGGACUGAGAUACGGCCCAGACUCCUACGGGAGGCAGCAGUGGGGAAUAUUGCACAAUGGGCGGAAGCCUGAUGCAGCAACGCCGCGUGCGGGAUGACGGCCUUCGGGUUGUAAACCGCUUUCGCCUGUGACGAAGCGUGAGUGACGGUAAUGGGUAAAGAAGCACCGGCUAACUACGUG
rnacentral:rRNA from 1 species